rnacentral:rRNA from 1 species
GAUUCUGGCUCAGGAUGAACGCUGGCGGCGUGCUUAACACAUGCAAGUCGAACGAAGCAAUUAAGCGGAAGUUUCGGAUGGAAGCUUAAUUGACUUAGUGGCGGACGGGUGAGUAACCCGUGGGUAACCUGCCUUAUACUGGGGGAUAACAGUUGGAAACGACUGCUAAUACCGCAUAAUAAAGAAUAUCGCAUGAUUUUCUUUUGAAAUAUUUAUAGGUAUAAGAUGGACCCGCGUCUGAUUAGCUAGUUGGUGAGGUAACUGCUCACCAAGGCGACGAUCAGUAGCCGGCUUGAGAGAGUGACCGGCCACAUUGGGACUGAGACACGGCCCAAACUCCUACGGGAGGCAGCAGUGGGGAAUAUUGCACAAUGGGGGAAACCCUGAUGCAGCGACGCCGCGUGAGUGAAGAAGUAUUUCGGUAUGUAAAGCUCUAUCAGCAGGGAAGAUAAUGACGGUACCUGACUAAGAAGCCCCGGCUAACUACGUGCCAGCAGCGGC